CGCGUAGGUGGUAGUGCAAGUCUGGGGUGGAAUCCCAGGGCUUAACCCUGGAACUGCCUUGGAAACUGUAUUACUUGAGUCAGUGAGGGGAGGGUAGAAUUCCUGGUGUAGCGGUGAAAUGCGUAGAUAUCAGGAGGAAGGCCUGUGGCGAAGGCGGCCCUCUGGCGCUGAACUGACACUGAGGCGCGAAAGCGUGGGGAGCAAACAGGAUUAGAUACCCUGGUAGUCCACGCCCUAAACGGUGGGUACUAGGUGUAGGGCUCGUAAGGGUUCUGUGCCGAAGCAAAAGCAUUAAGUACCCCGCCUGGGGAGUACGGCCGCAAGGUUGAA
rnacentral:rRNA from 1 species